rnacentral:rRNA from 1 species
UACGGGAGGCAGCAGUGGGGAAUAUUGCACAAUGGGCGCAAGCCUGAUGCAGCCAUGCCGCGUGUAUGAAAAAGGCCUUCGGGUUGUAAAGUACUUUCAGUCGUGAGGAAGGUGUUAAGGUUAAUAACCUUAGCAAUUGACGUUAGCGACAGAAGAAGCACCGGCUAACUCCGUGCCAGCAGCCGCGGUAAUACGGAGGGUGCGAGCGUUAAUCGGAAUUACUGGGCGUAAAGGGCACGCAGGCGGUUAAUUAAGUUGGAUGUGAAAUCCCCGGGCUUAACCUGGGAAUGGCAUUCAAGACUGGUUAGCUAGAGCCUUGUAGAGGGGGUAGAAUUCCAUGUGUAGCGGUGAAAUGCGUAGAGAUGUGGAGGAAUACCGGUGGCGAAGGCGGCCCCUGGACAAAGACUGACGCUCAUGUGCGAAAGCGUGGGGAGCAAAC